rnacentral:rRNA from 1 species
GGCGACCCAGUCAGGCGGGAGCAACCCGCCGAGUUUAGCAUAUCAUAUAAGCGGAAGGAAAGAAACUUACCAGGAUUCGCCCUAUAACGGCGAGCGAACCGGGAAGGAGCCCAGCUUUGAGAAUCGGGCGCCCUCGCGUCCGAAUUGUAGUCUAGAAGCGUCCUCAGCGGGCGGCCGCGGGCCCAGUCCCUGGAAAGGGGGCGACGGAAAGAGGGUGAGAGCUCCGUCGUGCCCGGACCUGUCGCACCACGAGGCGCUGUCUGCGAGUCCGGGUUUUGUUUGGGCAAAUGCAGCCCCAUCGGCGGUAAUAUUCCGUCCAAGGCCAAAUACGGGCGAGAGAGCCGAUAGCGAACAAGUACCCCUUUGCGAGGGAAAGAUGAAAAGGACUUUGAAAAGAGAGUCCAAAAGAGUGCUUGAAAUUGUUCGGGAGGAAGCGGAUGGGGCGGCGAUGCGCCCGGUCGAUGUGAACGGCGGCAAGCCGGUCCGCCGAUCGGCCUCGGGGCGCGGACCGACGCGGAUCGCAGCGUCCGGCCCAAGCCCGGGCUAUAGAAACGCCGCAGGAGACGCCGUCGCACGGCGAUCCGUGACAGCAGCGGCGCCGUCACGGCGUGCCCCCGGCACCAGCGCGCUCCUGGCGUCGCCGGCGGGCCUUCCCAUUCGGCCGCUUGAACACGGACCAAGGAGUCUAGACAUGUGGUGGCGAGUCAACGGCGAGUAAACCCGUAAGGGCGCAAGAAGCUGACUGGCGGGAUCCCCCGAGGGGUUGCACCGCCGACACGACUCGAUCUUCUGAGAAGGGUUCUGAGUGAGGCAUGCCUGUCGGGACCCGAAGAUGUGUGAACUAUGCCUGAGCGGAGGCGAAGGCAGAGGAAACUCGGUGGAAGGCCCGAGCGAUACUUGAAGUGUCAAUCGUUCGUCUGACUGGGUAUAGGGGCGAAAGAACUAAUCGAACCGUCUAGCUAGCUGGUUCCCUCCGAAGUUUCCCUCCGGAUAGCUGGAGCUCGGGCACAUUCUAUGGGGUAAAAGCAAUGAUAGUAGGCAUCGGGGGGCACCGCCUCGACCUAUUCUUCAAACUUUAAAUGGGUAGGACGGGCGGCUAGCUUCGCUGAGCGGCGCAAACGGAAUCGAGAGCUCCAAGUGGGCAUUUUGGUUAAGCAAACUGGCGAUGCGGGAUGGAACCGGAAGCCGGUUACGGUGCCUCAACUGCGCGCUUAACCCGAACCCACAAGGGUGUUGGUGAUUAGACAGCAGGACGGUGGUCAUGGAAGUCGAAAAUCCGCUAAGGAGUGGUGUAACAACUCACCUUGCCGAAUCAAACUAGCCCGCGAAAAUGAUUGGCGCUUAAGCGGCGCCGACCUAUACGCUCGGCCGUCGGGUGCAAGAGCCAGGCCCCCGAUGAGUGGAGGGGCGCGGCGGCCGCUGCCAAACCCGGGGCGCGAGCCGGGCGGAGCGGCCGCACGUGCAGAUCUUGGUGGUUAUAGCAAUAUUGCAAAUGAGAACUUGAAGGCGAAGAGGGGAAGGGUUCCCAUGUGAACGGCGACUUGCACAUGGGGUUAAGUUCCCGAUCUAAGAAGAACGGGGGAAGCCCGUCCGACAGCGCGUCGCCGCGGAGCUCGAAAGGGAAUCGGGUAAAAUUCCCCGAACCGGGACGCGGCGGCUGACGGCACGUUAGGGAGUCCGGAGACGUCGGCGGGGGCCUCGGAAGAGUUAUCUUUUUCUUUUAACGGCCCGCACCUGGAAACGAUCAGUCGAGGUAGGGUUCCAGCGGCCGGAAGAGCACCGCACGUCGCGCGGUGGUCCGGUGCGCCCCCGGCCGGCCCACGUGAAAUCGGAGGCCGAGUGCCUCCCGCCCCGGAAUCGUACUCAAAUAACCGCAUAGGUCUCCAAGGUGAACAGCCUCUGGCCAAUGGAAAAUGUAGGCAGGGAAGUCGGAAAAAACGGAUCCUAACCUCGGAAAAGGAUUGAGCUCUGAGGGCUGGCCCGGGGUUCCAAGUCCGAACCUUCGGCUGUCGGGGGACUGCUCGAGCUGCUCCCGCGGCGAGAGCGGGUCGCCGCGUGCGGCCGGGGGGAUCGGACUGGGAACGGCCCCUCCGGGGGCCUUCCCGGGCGUCGAACCAUCGACUCAGAACUGGUACGGACAAGGGGGAAUCCGACUGUUUUAAUUAAAACAGAAGCUUGCGAUGGUCCUGCGGAUGCUCACCGCAAUGUGAUUUUCUGCCAGUGCCUGAAUAUGUCAAAGUGAAGACAUUCAACCAGCGCGGGGUAAACGGCGGGAGUAACUAUGACUCUUUAAGGUAGCCAAAUGCCUGUCCAUCUAAUUAGUGUACGCGCAUGAUGGAUAACGAGAUUCCACUUCGUCCCUGUUACUAUUCCAGCGAAACCACAGCCAAGGGAACUGGGCCUUGGCGGAAUCAGCGGGGAAAGAAGACCCUGUUGAGCUUGACUCUAGUCCCGACUUUGUGAAAUGACUUGAGAGGUGUCAGGAUAAGUGGGAGCCGGAAACGGCGACGGUGAAAUACCACUACUUUUAACGUUAUUUACUUUUCGUGAAUCGGAGGCUGGGCAAGCCCUCUUCUUUGGACCCAGAGCCGCCGAGCGGCCGAGGUGAGAUAAAGCACAUUGUCCAGGUGGGAGGUUUGGCCUGCAGAGAGCACAUCUGUUAAGAUAAGCGGUUGUCCUUAAAAGAUGAACUCAAGAGAAAUACAGAAUCUCAGUAGAUAGAGAACCAAAGGGUAAAAGCUCGAUUAGAUUUCUGAAUUGUCCAGUAACGAUAACAGAUAGAGCGUAGGCCUAUAUGAUAAAUAAUAGACACAUAUCACGAGAAAUUAAAUGGCUAGAGGUGUCAGAAAAGUUAUCCACAGGGAUAAGGCUUGUGGCAGCCAAGCGUUCAUAGCGACGUUGCUUUUUGAUCCUUCGAUGUCGGCUCUUCCUAUCAUUGUGAAGCAGAAUUCACCAAGUGUUGGAUUGUUCACCCACCAAUAGGGAACGUGAGCUGGGUUUAGACCGUCGUGAGACAGGUUAGUUUUACCCUACUGAUGACCGCGCCGCGUCGCGAUGGUAAUUCAACCUAGUACGAGAGGAACCGUUGAUUCGCACAAUUGGUCAUCGCGCUUGGUUGAAAAGCCAGUGGCGCGAAGCUACCGUGCGCUGGAUUAUGACUGAACGCCUCUAAGUCAGAAUCCGGGCCAGAAGCGACGCCCGUGUCCGGCGCCCGCUUGCCGACCCGCAGUAGGGGCGGCACAUCCGGCCCCCAGAGGCACGUGCCGUUGGCGCAAGCCCCGCGGCGGAGAGCCGCGCGGGCCGCCUUGAAGUAGCUAUUCCACGGAGUCGGGCAGAAUCCUUUGGCAGACGACUUUAAAUACGCGCGGGGUAUUGUACAGUGCAGAGUGCCUUGCUGCCACGAUCCAGCAUGGAAUUCAGCCCUUUGUCGCUGCCGAUUGU